ensembl:lncRNA
ACUGGAAAAGACAGACCAGCUUUCAAUCAGCAAGAUGGCUUUGCGAGAGGCACAUCUCAGACUGUCAGAUGCAGUGAGGUAAAGGUUAUGGUUACAAACACUGGCUUGGUUGAGUUUAGUAAGGAGAGCUGUAACCGAGUGACAGAUUACGCUGUUAUAAAUGUUGAAGCAAACCAAAAGUCCCUUGGUCCUCAAGCACCCAUCCUCCCGCCUAAACCUCGUUCAAUGUCCAUGUCCUCUGGCAGCCAUCUACACUCACGGCCCCUGCCUGCUCCUCCACUAGGUUACGCAAGAACAUACGGGUUAGACAUCUACCCUGGAUCCUCGUUCCCAACAGGCAAAGUUGAGACCUCUGAUUCUUUACUAAUAAGUUCACUGUCAAAAGUCAAUUUUGACCAUUUGGGCUUAAAUCGCACUCAUCAGACACUGCCCCCAUCUCCAUCACUCUCUCCUUCUAUUCCACCAUCUUCUGGCAGUCACUCCUUGUUCCUCCCACCUCAAACCUGUCCUCCACCUCUCCCUCCCCACUAUAGACUCCAAAAGGGUCAAAAGUACUCUUCAGAGACAUAUUCCAGAUACAAUGUGAUGCACAUACAAAGAGACCCACUAAGCUGUGACCAUACUGAUAGGAGACAUGCUGACAGAGGCAUGACACGGUCUCAGUCUUUGUAUAAUUCAAGAGAUGGUCCAGAGACAUACACUACAGACAAUGAGUCCUCCUACAGAAUGACUCGAUCCCAAUCCACAAUUCCAAAAAUUGAGAGAACAUCUUCCUCUAGUCCGGAGCUCUCAAAGGACGAUGAAGACGAUGAUGACGAUUCACCUUUCAUGUCACCGCAUAGAUCCAGCAGUGGCACAACUAUUCAGCACACCAACCUGGCUGAUGAACCCGAUCCAGCUACGGCCGAGUUUUUCUCAAGGGGAAUGAAGCGAACACAAUCCCGCCUCGCCACUAUCCUGCCGGCCAUAUGGAAGGAAGAUGCAGUCAUGCAACGUGAGCGAGUUGCAGCUGCUAGGAAAUCUCCCAUACAUUUGUUUCUGACUGAGAUCUCCAAUGACUCCAUGGACAUGAAAGAUGGAGAAAGCUCAUGGGCACGAGAAAGUGAUGGAAGGAAAGAUAAAGGAAUGCGGAGAUCCCAGUCUCUUCUCUCAGAACUUGACUCAUCCACACAGGCUUGGGCCUCAGACAAAGACUUCCUGCCUGGGUAUGAAGGCAGUACCAAAAAGAGAGAUUUGUUCCUUACAGAGAUUGAGACAUCUGUGUCAGAUUGUGAGGAUGCAUAUGAUGGCGAAGGUGGCACCCCGGUUUCCAGAUUUGGAACUACUCCUCAUCCUUUUGCACAUCCCUCAGAUUUGCCAGUGUAUGCAGAAGCUGAGGAGGCUUUUUCAUCAGCGAUGAAGAAGUCUCAUUUCGUGCUCUCUGAAAUAUCUAUUGAGAGUGUUGAACCUGAGCCGAAGAAAGGGGAAAUGACAAGAGAGGAAUUUCUAAAGGAGAUUCAAUCUGCUGAAACAUUUCUGACUGAAAUCAUUACAAGGCAACGCAAAAAGGAAGAGAGUGUAUCACCUACUCCAUUGUCUCCUGAGUAUGAAUCAAUAUGCAUUGACCCAGAAUCGUCUCAGACAAUACAGUUUGAAUCAGAAAGAGCAA